rnacentral:tRNA from 1 species
GCGCACGUAGCCCAACGGGCAGGAGGCACCACCUCGAGAGGGUGGACAGUGCUGGUUCGAAUCCAGCCGUGCGCACCA